rnacentral:rRNA from 1 species
AGUGAACGCUGGCGGUAGGCCUAACACAUGCAAGUCGAACGGCAGCACAGUAAUAGCUUGCUCUUAUCGGUGGCGAGUCGCGGACGUGUGAGGUAUACAUCGGACUCUACUUUUUCGUGGGGGAUAACGUAGGGAAACUUACGCUAAUACAGCAUCCCACCUACGGGUGAAAGCAGUGGAUCUUCGGACCUUGCGCGAUUGAAUGAGCCGAUGUCGGACUAGCUAGUUGGCGGGGUAAAGACCCACCAAGUCGCCGAUCCGUAGCUGGUCUGAGAGGAUGAUCAGCCACACUGGAAGUUAAACGCGGUCCAGACUCCUACGGGAGGCAGCAGUGUGCAAUGUUGGGCAGUAGGCGCAAGCAUGAUCCAGCGAUACCGCGUGGGUGAAGAAAGCCUUCGGGGUGUAAAGCCCUUUUGUUGGGAAAGAAAAGCAGCAGGUUAAUACCCAGCUGUUCUGACGGUACCCAAAAAAUAAGCACCGGCUAACUUCGUG